ensembl:lncRNA
GUUGGCUUUCCAGCAAAUCUCACUGGGAUUGGGAAGGCAGAGGAGACUCACCAUCAACCCUUUGGCUCACUUACAAGGGGCGCUCAGGCCUGUUCCCAGAACAUGCGUGAGGGCCGCUCUGCUCCCCCCACUGCUGACAUCUGUGCCGCCCGCGGACCCUCCCUGAAACCAUCUCUGGCCCCACUCCUCCUCUCUGCCAUCUUGGGACUCUCUUUUGGGAGUGCAUUAGUGACGCUGGCUUUGGGAAAGCGGAGCUGGGUGGUGACGAUGAGCUGACAGGGUGACUUUUGGGGACCAUAUCCUUCUGUUGGGGGAGGGCGGGGCAUGAGGUGCCGAGGUCCUCCUGCCAUAGCCAGGGAUGGGGGCACGUCACAGCCAGCGCCUUGGUUUUGGAGAGGCCAACAAUUCCUCGUGGGAAGAGGCUGUGCUGAGCUGGCAUGAAGCUUUGUCGCAAGUCAGAGCCCUUGGCUGAUGUUCAGCAAGGGAUUUCCCAUCUCAAGUUGGUGGCUUGUGCUUUGGAAACGCGCUGGAUGCUGCUUUACCUUUCUUGCCCUGGGCGAGAGGUGGCAAAGCCUCCUCUUCCUUUGGUUUCCCCUCCGCAGGGAUGCCUCCUGAGGACCUGCGGGAUAUCCCAGGUGGUGGUUUGGGGACAAACUCCAUUUGAAACCUGUACGCGAGGAGACGACAGUGAGCGGUGGGACGCAGCGCUCCACCAAUCCUUGUUGCUCUCUCUGAUUGCCUGCUGACAGGCCCAUUUUCAUGCUGCAUGAUGGCCACUGCUUUCUAAAGGCUUCAGCAGGGCCAGGCUGAGAGCAACCUGAUGUGGCGCUUGUCAAGGAAGUCGUAAUAGAAUUUCAUGUGGAAGGUCAGUCCAUCAAUGUGGAGCACUCCAAUGUCCUUGAAGACAACGGCAACGUUCUCCCCAUUCUUCAGGCAGCCAGAGAGCAGGGACACGGUGCUUUGGAUGCAAGCCUGCGCUGUCUGCCAGGUCACAGAGGCAGCUGCGGCCACCUCGCUGCUCUUGAGCGGCUCCAGCUUCCUAUGGGCUGAAAAAUGGGAGGGACGGAGUUGAUGAUACGGUUGGUUUUCCGCAGUGCUUCCCU